GCACUCACUUCAGCAGCACUUUCACUGAAAUUGCAAUGAUACAGAGAAGAGUAGCAUGGCCCCUGUGCAAGGAUGAUGCCCAAAUUCACAGAGAAAUCACAUGGAAAA